GCGCAAUGCGAUAAGUAGUGUGAAUUGCAGAAUUCAGUGAAUCAUCGAAUCUUUGAACGCACAUUGCGCCCUUUGGUAUUCCUUAGGGCAUGCCUGUUCGAGCGUCAUCUAAACCCUCAAGCCCUGCUUGGUGUUGGGUGCCUGUCCCGCCCCCGUGCGCGGACUCACCUCAAAUCCAUUGGCGGCCCUCGUGCCGGCCCCGAGCGCAGCAGAAACGCGGUCUCGUGGCCCGGCGGAGCGUGCCCCCAGAAGCAACAUUCACCGUUUUGACCUCGGAUCAGGUAGGGAUACCCGCUGAACUUAA
rnacentral:misc_RNA from 1 species